rnacentral:lncRNA from 13 species
UGAGCCCAGGUGUCCCCAGUUGUGCCCCAGGUGAGCUGAGGUGUGCCCAGGUGAGCCCAGGUGUGCCCCAGGUGAACCCCAGGUGUGCUCAGGUGAGCUCAGGUGCACUGUCCCAGUCCCAUUGUCCAGGGGGAACAAAUCCAGGCCCUGGGAAGGCCCCACCCCAUCCAGGUGUGCACCUGGAGCACCCCAAAAUCCAGGUGAGUCCAGCCUCAGGUCCCCCAGUCCUGACUGGGAGGGGCUCCGCAGCUCCAGGUGAGGGCUCAGGUGAGGCAUUGCAGUUCUGGGGUCACACCUGGCCACAGGUGCACCCUGGGGGUCCCCGGUCCUUUUCCAAUGCUGGUGACAUCACAGCUCAGGUGUGGCUGUGCUGGGACCCCUCACCUGCAGCUCAGGUGCUGCCGAUUUUGGGGUCCACACCUGUCCUGGAGCCCCUCACCUGCGGCUCAGGUGUCGCUGUCCACGUGCUGCAGCUUUUUGGGGUCCACACCUGUCCAGGGUCACAGGUACAGGGUGCCCUCACCUGCGGCUCAGGUGUCGCAGUUCAGGUGUUGUUGCUGCAGCUCUUUGGGGUCCACGGCACAUUUUUGGGGUCCACACCUGUGCUGGGGCUCCUCACCUGGGCACAUCCAGGUGCUGCAGCUUUUUGGGGUCCACACCCAUCCUGGGGCACAGGUACAGGGUGGCUUCACCUGGAGCUCAGGUGUCGCAGUUCAGGUGUUGCUGCUGCAGCUUUUUGGAGCCCACACCUGGCCUGGGUGCAGAUCCAGGGUGCCCUCACCUGCGGCUCAGGUGCUUCAGGUGUUGCUGCUGCAGCUUUUUGGGGUCCAAUGCACAUUUNUCAGGUGAGAAGGGCCGAGGGCUCCUCCCGUGACCCCCCCGCCCUCACCUGUCCCCCCCCAGGUGCGUCCCCGUCCUGCGCGUACCUGGUGGCGCUGCUGGUGCUGCUGACGUCACUGAGCGGGGCCCUGCUCUGGCUCAUCUUGCGGGCCAGGUGUGUCACAGCUCACCUGGAUGCCCCGAGGGCCCCCGGCUCCAUUUACCUGCCCAGGAGGGCCCCACCUGGCGAGGCCGACGUGCUGCAGCUGAUGGACGACGCCCCCUGAGCUCACCUGAGCAGCUCACCUGGCGGUGCUCACCUGGCACCUGGAGCCCCUCACCUGAACCCUCACCUGGAACCUCUCACCUGGAUCCUCUCACCUGGAACCCCUCACCUGGAUCCUCUCACCUGGAGCCCCUCACCUGAACCCUCACCUGGAAUUCCUCACCUGGAUCCUCUCACCUGGAUCCUCUCACCUGGAACCCCUCACCCAGAACCCCCCACCUGGAUCCUCUCACCUCUCAUGCCUCACUUGGAUCCUCUCACCUGGAAUUCCUCACCUGGAUCCUCUCACCUGGAUCCUCUCACCUGGAUCCCCUCACCUGGAACCUCUCACCUGGAUCCUCACCUGGAUCCUCUCACCUGGAUCCUCUCACCUGGAUCCCCUCACCUGGAACCUCUCACCUGGAUCCUCACCUGGAUCCCCUCACCUGGAUCCCCUCACCUGGAUCCUCACCCGGCCCCUGCCCCACCCCCGGCAGCCCCCGCAGGGCUCAGGUGCUGCUGCACACCUGGGCCAGGUGAAUAAAUUCAAAAGGGCUCUGGACCCUCCAGGUGCGACAGGUGUGGAGUUUUUGUGGGUCCUGAACUCUGCAGGUGGGACAGGUGUGAGUUUGGGGGUCCCUGACUCCCCCAGGUGUGGAUUUGGGGGACCCUGAAUCCCCCAGGUGUGAAUUUGGGAGGUUCCCAACCCUCCAGGUGUGGAUUUUAGGGGUCCCAACCCCCCAGGUGUGAAUUUGGGGGGUCCUGAGCCCCACAGGUGUGAAUUUGGGGGGUCUCUGCUCCUCCAGGUGUGAAUUUGGGGGUUCCUGACUCCCCCAGGUGUGAAUUUGGGGGUCCCAACCCCCCAGGUGUGAAUUUGGGGGUUCCUGACUCCCCCAGGUGU